CCAAUACUUACUGGUAACAAUGGACAGGACAAAAGUAGUACCAACAUAUAAUCAGCGAGAUGGGUUGUCAGAACAGCGAAUAGACACUUGGUUUGUAAACAAUGAAAGUAUUAUCCAUUAACAGCUUCAUCAAUGAGCAGGUCUCACUUAUAUCUUCAUUCAAUCAAUUUAGUUUCAAGGAAAAUUACCAAUUAGUUUGUAUGAGCCAACUAAAUGAGAGAUAAAAAAGUGUAACACAUUUUUUAAAUUGCCAUCCACUAGCACAGUAACAGUGCAAUGAUCACAUUUAAAACCUCAGCCCUUGUGACACACAUGAGAAAUCUGCCAAACAACACAUCUACACCAAAUAGACUGUCUGGUCCACAUAGCUCAUGAUGAGCUUGCAUGGCUAACAAAUAACACAACAUGCAUCAUCGAUGUAUAAAGAGGGCAAUAUUAAUCUUUUUUCCUAAGUGACUGGCUAUUUUGCAUGGUAGGCAAAAGUAAAUAUCAAGAUGUGUAAGCACAUCAAAAAGGCACGUGCAUUUCCAUUGUGGUUUCACGGGUGAGAGGCAACUAUUCUUGUUUGGGAAGUUAGCCCCGGUAGGAAAUUCUGGGUUCAUAACAACCUGAGUACCGACCCAUCCACAGAGCUAUCACUAAGGUCCUAAGGCAAAGAGAUAUUGACUCUAUUUACUAACCCAUAACCACAAUAUCUCAAUGUCAACUAACAGAUUCCUAUAGUAUAUGCAUAGAUGACAAAUAUGCCGCAUGGACCAAUGCACAGAAAAGGUCCAAAGCAUAAAAAAUGCACUAAGCGACAAAAGUACCAACAAUUGAAACAUGUUUCCCAAGUGAACAAUAAAGCACUUUAAGUCCUCAACAAUUUCCCAAUCAAGAAUCAACAGAUCCAAGCUUAUGCAAAUGAACCAUAGACAAAACUCGACAGAACAGACAGAUUCACAAAUUCAGUUUUAAACUAAAAGGUGAAUGGCCAUUGUCCAUAUCUGUAUUAACACAAAUCAGAACGGUUGAUAGAAUGAUGGGUUUAACAGAAAGUGGCCAGAAAUUGGAAUCAUGUAAAGCCUACAGCAUUGACCGCCACUAUGCAUCCUAACCACCAAAGCAAGCAUAUAUUAUACGGCGCUGCUAGUGCCCGGACGUCCAAUGGGAAAUUUUCCAUCGGAUGCUCCGACGAAACAUUAAAAAUUACCUAGUGCAACAUCAGCGGUCACUGUUUGCAACAUGAAAAAUAAUGUGUAAAAAUGACUACGUCGUUCGACUCUAGGAUAGAAAAUUCCCGCCACAACAUGAACACUAUGUUUCAUGCAACAUUCACUAUAAAACAUACAGAAAUAAUAGUUGCAACAUCAAUGAUUAACUAUUGCAACAUAUGUCGGAGCAUCCGAUUUUUUUUAAGAUUCCGGACGUCUGAUCUGUAGCAUUACCGUAUGUUAUAACAUGACCCAAACAAUUUGCAAACUUUGCCAUAACAACAUUAUCCAUGCAAGUAAACAAAUUAAGCGUAAUUAUAAUCUCGUUUACACAGUGUAUAACAUGAUACUGCCAUUUUUACAUUAUCUGUGCCAGAAUGUCCAUCUCCAUAGUCCAUACCCAAAUAGCAAAUAGAUGAACACACCAACCCAUCAAGAUCAACAGAACAUACUCUGAACCGACAAUACAGGUGGAAUCAGAGAUGGAAACAUAUCUAGUACCUUCACUAGAUACAAUUAGUUUCAAGGAAAUUCACCAAUUAUUUUAUUCCAGCCAACUAAAUAGCGACAGCUGAUAAUGAUACAAUAAUUCUAGCCCCCACCCCAGUGACUGGCUAGUUUGCAUGACCAAUGAAACAUUGGCAGUUUCUAUUUAUUAAACCUAACUACCAUAUCUCAAUGUAAUGCAUAGGUGACAAAUAUGCUACAAGGAGAAUGCAUUAAAAAGGUCCAAGUGUAAGAAAUGCAGUACACGACAAAGGUACUAACUACUGAAACACCAUGUUGCGCAAGCGAAGAAAAAAGCACUUUUUAAGUCUUCAAAAACUCAACAAUCAAAAAUCGACAGAUCAAGCAUGUGCAAAUGAACCAUAGACAAAACUCGAUGAAACAGACAGAAUUACCAAUUUGCUAUAAACGGAAAAGUGAAUGGUCAUUGUCCAUAUCUGUGCAACCAUGAAAGGUUAUAAACAUGGGUCUAACGGUAAGUGCCCACUGCCCAGGAAGCAGAAUCAUGUAAAGCCUACAACACUCCUCACCACUUGCAAACUUCGCCACAGCAACCUUAUCCAUACAAAAUCCAUACAUAUAUAAAGGCGCAAGACAAGUUAUCCGAACUUACAAUCUCAUCUGCACAAGAUAGUAACAUAUACUGCCAUAUUUACAGGACGUGCCCAAAAUGUCC
rnacentral:lncRNA from 1 species